GCCGGGCGUGGUGCCGUGUGCUUGUAUUCUCAGCUACUUGGGAGGCUGAAGUGGGAGGAUCGCUUGAGCCCAGGAGUUCUGGGCUGUAGUGCACUAUGCCAGUCAGGUGUUCGCACUAAGUUCAGCAUCAAUACGGUGACCUCUUGGGAGUGGAGGACCACCAGGUUACCUAAGGAGGGAUGAAUAGGCCCAGUUCGGAAACAGAGCAGGUCAAAACUCCCGUGCUGAUCGGUAGUGGGAUCGUGCCUGUGAACAGCCACUGCACUCCAGCCUGGGCAACAUAGUGAGACCCUGUCUCU
rnacentral:SRP_RNA from 1 species